rnacentral:tRNA from 1 species
AGUGCAGUAGGUAGAGUGUUUGAUUUUCAUUCGUGAGGUCAUUACUUCAAGUCCCAGCUUC